AUGGCUCCCAAGGCGGAGAAGAAGCCGGCUGCCGCUGAGAAGACCCCGGCGGCGGAGAAGACCACGGCGGGGAAGAAGCCCAAGGCCGAGAAGCGGCCGCCCAAGUCCAAGGAGGGCGGCGCCGACAAAAAGAAGAAGAAGGCCAAGAAGAGCGUGGAGACGUACAAGAUCUACAUCUUCAAGGUGCUGAAGCAGGUGCACCCGGACAUCGGCAUCUCCUCCAAGGCCAUGUCCAUCAUGAACUCCUUCAUCAACGACAUCUUCGAGAAGCUGGCCGGCGAGUCGGCCAAGCUCGCCCGCUACAACAAGAAGCCCACCAUCACGUCCCGGGAGAUCCAGACCUCCGUCCGCCUCGUCCUCCCCGGGGAGCUCGCCAAGCACGCCGUCUCCGAGGGCACCAAGGCCGUCACCAAGUUCACCUCCUCUUAG
rnacentral:rRNA from 1 species